ensembl:antisense Brip1os BRCA1 interacting protein C-terminal helicase 1, opposite strand
ACCCCGCGAAAAAGACCGGGACAAGUUCCGCACAUUUGCUUGAAGGAAAAAAAAAAAAAUUCUUGUACUGUGAGACUUUAAGAAACACAAAAUGGGCGUUAGACGGGUCUUACAUUUGGUGCAUUGACCGGGAAUCGUCCUGCUGGCGGGGCCAGUGACAGGAGACCGGAGGAUUGUUCGAGCAGGUUAAAAGGCCUGCAGCUGGUGCAGAGAGAAGUGUGAUCACAGCUGGCAGCUGCAUAUGAGCCUGAUACUCCUAAGACAUCGCAUCAGUUCGAGGUUGGAGAUUCAUUCUACGUGAGGCAACAUCGUGCCCAGAGGCUCGAGCCCCAUUGGAAAGGACCCUAUCUAGUACUGGACUCCAACGGCUGUCAAAGUGGAUGGAAUUGCUGCCUGGAUACAUGCCUCACAUGUGAAGCCAGCCCCCUUAGCUGAGACCAGAAUUCCAGGAAAUCACCCUGUCUGGAAGGCCCAGGCUACGGAGAACCCUCUGAAAGUGAAGAUCAUCAAAGGGUCCAAAGAUGCAAGCCCUUCCCCUGGUACUGUAUCUUAGUUUCUUCUCCUUAUGUUCUGCAGACCUUGGUCCCCACCAGCCACGCAACCUAACGUGGCAGGUGAUUUCAGGGGCUGGAGACACUAUUUGGAGUCUAUCCAAGGUUACCACUCCAUCUACCUGGUGGCCUGACCUUUUCCCUGACGUCUGUAAGUUGGCUAUAGGAGCCCCUCCUGGUUGGGACUUGAAGGGGUAUUCUGACAUUCAGAGGGCACCUUCAACACCCCCUCCGUAUGUAGAAAAACAUCCAAGAGACCCAUGGGGUGGUUGCUCUAACCAAAGGGAUAGAAGCAUGCUUCGAAUCCACCCCUUCUAUGUCUGCCCUGGGCCCCACCGAAGUCAGUCCCUCAAUCCAAAAUGCGGAGGUAAGACUGACUUCUUCUGCAAGAACUGGGGUUGUGAGACUUCAGGUGAAGUCUACUGGAAGCCCUCCUCGAGCUGGGACUAUAUUAAAGUAACAGCCAACUAUUCCCUAGAGUCUUACGUACCUGGAGGAUUUGACCUAGACGAGUGUACCGACUGGUGCCAUCCACUCCGUGUCACCUUCACUGAACCAGGGAAAAGAGCUCUAGAAUGGACAAAAGGAUACACCUGGGGUCUUAGGCUUUAUAAGGAAAGGUAUGAUGAGGGAUUAUUGUUCACUAUCAGAUUAAAAAUAGAGACCCCCUACAAUCCUUUAGGCCCCAACAAAGUCUUGGCCCCAGAUGAGAUAAAUCCCAGGCCAACACCCCCCUCUAGUUCCAGGCCAACACCCCCACCCAAUUCUCAUGGUACUGUGGCUCCUUCAAAAAGGAUCACGGAGACUGUUUCCCUUUAAUCGCCUGGGCAAUCUCGUUUAACUCUUCUAGUUCAAGAAGCUUUCAGAAUUAUCAACAGCACCAACCCUGAAGCCACUAAAUCAUGUUGACUCUGUUUAUGAUGUGGCUCCUCCUUACUAUGAAGGCAUGGUAUUUAUAAAAAUGCUAAAAUCACUCUGAUGCCACAACAUACCAGUGGCAGCAGCAGAGCGCCAGACUUAACCUUGUCAGCUAUAACUGGGCAGGGACUGUGUGUGGGAAAAGUUCAGUCUUGUUGGGGGUGGGGCUGGAAGUGGCAGGGGCUGCUAUGGGAUCAUCUGCACUGGCCUUGCAGACCCAGAGUUACCAAAGUCUGAGGGCUGCCAUAGAUGCUGAUAUUGUAGAGAUGGAAAACUCCAUCUCUAAGCUCCAGGAGUCUCUGACCUUGCUGUCAGAAGUGGUCCUCCAAAAUAGGAGAGGCUUGGAUCUCCUGUUCCUCCAACAAGAUCUGUGUGCAGCCCUAAAAGAAGAAUGCUGCUUCUACAUAGACCACUCUGGAGUGGUAAAAGAUUCGAUGGCCAAAGUGAGAAAGGGGCUGGCGAAAAGAAAGAGAGAAAGAAAACAGAACCAGGGGUGGUUUAAUCUUGGUUUAACUCUUUCCCCGUGGCUUCACGACCCUGAUUUCUAUCCUUCUGGGACCAUUGCUAAUCCUGAUGUUGCUUUUAACUUUUGUUCCCUGCAUUUUAAAUUGCUUGCUAGCUUUUAUUAGAGAACACAUAAGCACAGUUCAGAUUAUAAUGCUGAGACAACAGUAUCAAGAGUUAAGUCAGGGGGCUGGUGAGAUGGCUCAGCAGGUAAGAGCACCCGACUGCUCUUCCAAAGGUCCUGAGUUCAAAUCCCAGCAACCACAUGGUGGCUCACAACCAUCCAUAAUGAGAUCUGACUCCCUCUUCUGGUGUGUCUGAAGACAGCUACAGUGUACUUACAUAUAAUAAAUAAAUGAAGAGUUAAGUCAGAAUGAGCUAUAAUUUCAUGACUGAAAUACAAGAAAAAGGGGGGAAUGUGAGAGUUUAAGAAGCACAAAAUGGCUGCUAGAAGGAGGAUCUUGCCAGAAAUAAGACUUUGGGUACAGAAGGAUUAUGACUAAUUCCUCUUCCCGGAAUGUCCCAGAAAAACAGGAAGGCCUUUACUGCAGAGCAGGGUGGGCCAGGUGCAGAUAAUUCAGUUCCCCUUUGAAGAUAACAAAGACCUCACCCCACUUAGAACAACCAAUGCUGAGAAAGAUCAAUACAGACUACUAAUAAGCUUUAACCAACUCAUACUGUUGCUGAAGUCUGCCCCCAAGAACUGUAUAAAAGAUGUAUGCUUGAAAUGUUCAGGGUAGCCUCUGCCCUAAUUGCAGGAUGGCCCCAAUGUGCUGGAUCAUUAAACCUCUUGCUUGUUGCAUCGAUCUCCGUCUCUGUUUCUGUGAGUGGGCCUCCCUGGACGUAAGGCUCUAAGGGUCUUACAGUACCCCUUUUGGAAAUGGAUGAUUUAACCUACACAGCUAGUCCCCUAUGACUGGAAGACUAAUUUGCAACGAAAAGGAAACCUUUUUCCUGUUGUCUAUCAUGCAAGUAACCUCCCAUGGUUACAGUAUCUGAAGAAAGAGGAAUGCAGACUGCACCAGAAUUGUCACUACAAUGCUAAAAUUAGUGAGAAGGUCCUGAGGUACUUUGUAUGUUAUUUCUUGAUGUUCAAGGCUUUCUUGGAUAGAAUCUGAGAUGGAUAAUCUCUCCAGAUCACAUCGAUCUAAUACUAGAGUUCACCUACCUUACAUAACAUUUUAUUCCUUGCCAAGAAGUACAAUUUCCUCAAUUAUAAGGGGUUUAACCACGACCUUGACAAAUUAAUUUCUUGGCCAUUAGAUUGUUUUAAUAGAUAUUCUAUUAUUGUUGUUGUUUGUAGCCUAACCUUGAUCCAACUAAUAGAAACUCCAAAAGGCAAAACUGUGAAGUACUUUUCUUCAGUUAAUUAGAGAGCAAGACUGGUUGUUUUCCCUGCUUUCUUUUGGUUAUGCAGCUUCCUAAAAUGAUGGAAUUUGUAAUUAUAAAAUACAUUACCUUUGACAUAGUAAGCUCAAUGCCCUUAAUUUAUCCUAAAAGCAUAAUCUAAAAGUGAAUUCCUCAGUUGACAAUUGUCAGUUGUAACACUGAAAAUUUAUAGUCUUUAGUCUAGUAAUGGGGUACAAGUUCUAAUUUAUCAGUUCAAUAGAUUAUUCAAUAAAAUGAUUUUUAAAAAUAAGCUGUUUCCAAGAAAAAAAUAUGUCCUGUGAAAUUUGUUUUAUAAAAGCAGACUCCAGGAUCUGAAGAGGGUGGACCAGUGGUUAAGAGCACUUGCUUCUCUUGUACAGGACCCAGGUUACAUUCCUAGCACCCAUAUGGGGACUCAUAACCAUCGGUAACUACAAUUUCUAGGGUUCCUUUCAUUUAUGUGACCUUAAAGAAAGGGAUAUAUUAAAGCCCCAGAACUAGGGUGUCCUAGAUUCUAACACCCUCCUGGUAAUUUUACAUUAACAGUUGUGAAAUAAAACAUAAAAGCUACAGUUCAUUGUUAAAGAAUGAAUGUUUAUAAAUCAAUAUCCAAAAUAGUUGCACACAUCUGUUUUGACUUGAAUAAAAAAAAUCACAUUGUGACAAAGCUUAUAACCUUAACUUAAGAUAUAUGAAUAUUAACAUUUACUAAUAUUAUUUACAUAUUUUAUUUACAUCAUCAACAAAUUGGAUGAAAAACAGGCUAUGUUAUUACUUUAACACAGUAGGUUAUGACUAGUCUUUGAAAAUUGAUCCACAAAAUGUGUACUGUAUUUCAUUACAAAACAUACUUCAAAUAAUUCAGAAUUCCUAAAGGAUUCUACUAUUCACAGAAAAACUUCCAGAAAGGUCUCAUUUACAAACAAAACGGGAGCAGUUGUAUUUAAUCUUAAGAGACUUCAGAACUGCCUCAUUUAAAAAUAGGAAAAUUCUUGUGGUAUAUCUUUAAAGCAUAUUCUUUUACUCUUCACAUCAAAAUUAAUUAAUUGAACAUUAAGCAUCUAAUAAAAAGUUAUAUAUAUUCC